GCCGCCGAACCUCAAGUUCGGCCGCCGAACAUGGCAUGCAUGCGGAGGCACGUUCGGCCCCCGAACGUGGCCUGGCCAGCCACUAUAAAAGGGUCCCUUAGCUGAAAACGGGCGAGCUUUUUCCCCAUUUCCGGCCAAGGUGAGUUCUCCGCCAUCCCUCACCGAUCUUGAGUCUUUUCCUUCAGAUCUUUCGAGUUUUUCACAAGUUUUUACUUUGUUUUGAAGAUUUUUGAGUUUUAAGCAAGUUUUGGAGCUUUGAGGUUCAAGAACCCAAAAAUCUCCCACCUCCGAGUUUAGGACGUCUCUCUCUCGAUCUUCAAGAGGUAAGAGCCGAUCUUAAGCUCAUUUCAUGUUUAAAGUAAGUUUUAUGCAAGAUCUAUGGGGUAGAAUGUAUGUUUAGCUCAUGGUUAGGUUUAUGGGUUUUAUUUGUAUUUUUGG
rnacentral:lncRNA from 1 species